GAACAUGGGGGGACCAUCCUCCAAGGCUAAAUACUACUGACUGACCGAUAGUGAACCAGUACCGUGAGGGAAAGGCGAAAAGAACCCCGGAGAGGGGAGUGAAAUAGAACCUGAAACCGUAUGCGUACAAGCAGUGGGAGCCUACUUGUUAGGUGACUGCGUACCUUUUGUAUAAUGGGUCAGCGACUUAUAUUCAGUGGCAAGCUUAACCGUAUAGGGUAGGCGUAGCGAAAGCGAGUCUUAAUAGGGCGUUUAGUCGCUGGGUAUAGACCCGAAACCGGGCGAUCUAUCCAUGAGCAGGUUGAAGGUUAGGUAACACUGACUGGAGGACCGAACCCACUCCCGUUGAAAAGGUAGGGGAUGACUUGUGGAUCGGAGUGAAAGGCUAAUCAAGCUCGGAGAUAGCUGGUUCUCCUCGAAAGCUAUUUAGGUAGCGCCUCAUGUAUCACUCUGGGGGGUAGAGCACUGUUUCGGCUAGGGGGUCAUCCCGACUUACCAAACCGAUGCAAACUCCGAAUACCCAGAAGUGCCGAGCAUGGGAGACACACGGCGGGUGCUAACGUCCGUCGUGAAAAGGGAAACAACCCAGACCGCCAGCUAAGGUCCCAAAGUUGUGGUUAAGUGGUAAACGAUGUGGGAAGGCUUAGACAGCUAGGAGGUUGGCUUAGAAGCAGCCAUCCUUUAAAGAAAGCGUAAUAGCUCACUAGUCGAGUCGGCCUGCGCGGAAGAUGUAACGGGGCUCAAACCACACACCGAAGCUGCGGGUGUCACGUAAGUGACGCGGUAGAGGAGCGUUCUGUAAGCCUGUGAAGGUGAGUUGAGAAGCUUGCUGGAGGUAUCAGAAGUGCGAAUGCUGACAUGAGUAACGACAAUGGGUGUGAAAAACACCCACGCCGAAAGACCAAGGGUUCCUGCGCAACGUUAAUCGACGCAGGGUUAGUCGGUUCCUAAGGCGAGGCUGAAAAGCGUAGUCGAUGGGAAACAGGUUAAUAUUCCUGUACUUCUGGUUACUGCGAUGGAGGGACGGAGAAGGCUAGGCCAGCUUGGCGUUGGUUGUCCAAGUUUAAGGUGGUAGGCUGAAAUCUUAGGUAAAUCCGGGGUUUCAAGGCCGAGAGCUGAUGACGAGUCGUCUUUUAGAUGACGAAGUGGUUGAUGCCAUGCUUCCAAGAAAAGCUUCUAAGCUUCAGGUAACCAGGAACCGUACCCCAAACCGACACAGGUGGUCGGGUAGAGAAUACCAAGGCGCUUGAGAGAACUCGGGUGAAGGAACUAGGCAAAAUGGCACCGUAACUUCGGGAGAAGGUGCGCCGGCUAGGGUGAAGGAUUUACUCCGUAAGCUCUGGCUGGUCGAAGAUACCAGGCCGCUGCGACUGUUUAUUAAAAACACAGCACUCUGCAAACACGAAAGUGGACGUAUAGGGUGUGACGCCUGCCCGGUGCCGGAAGGUUAAUUGAUGGGGUUAGCGCAAGCGAAGCUCUUGAUCGAAGCCCCGGUAAACGGCGGCCGUAACUAUAACGGUCCUAAGGUAGCGAAAUUCCUUGUCGGGUAAGUUCCGACCUGCACGAAUGGCGUAACGAUGGCGGCGCUGUCUCCACCCGAGACUCAGUGAAAUUGAAAUCGCUGUGAAGAUGCAGUGUAUCCGCGGCUAGACGGAAAGACCCCGUGAACCUUUACUGUAGCUUUGCACUGGACUUUGAGCCUGCUUGUGUAGGAUAGGUGGGAGGCUUUGAAGCGUGGACGCCAGUUCGCGUGGAGCCAUCCUUGAAAUACCACCCUGGCAUGCUUGAGGUUCUAACUCUGGUCCGUGAUCCGGAUCGAGGACAGUGUAUGGUGGGCAGUUUGACUGGGGCGGUCUCCUCCUAAAGAGUAACGGAGGAGUACGAAGGUGCGCUCAGACCGGUCGGAAAUCGGUCGCAGAGUAUAAAGGCAAAAGCGCGCUUGACUGCGAGACAGACACGUCGAGCAGGUACGAAAGUAGGUCUUAGUGAUCCGGUGGUUCUGUAUGGAAGGGCCAUCGCUCAACGGAUAAAAGGUACUCCGGGGAUAACAGGCUGAUACCGCCCAAGAGUUCAUAUCGACGGCGGUGUUUGGCACCUCGAUGUCGGCUCAUCACAUCCUGGGGCUGAAGCCGGUCCCAAGGGUAUGGCUGUUCGCCAUUUAAAGUGGUACGCGAGCUGGGUUUAGAACGUCGUGAGACAGUUCGGUCCCUAUCUGCCGUGGACGUUUGAGAUUUGAGAGGGGCUGCUCCUAGUACGAGAGGACCGGAGUGGACGAACCUCUGGUGUUCCGGUUGUCACGCCAGUGGCAUUGCCGGGUAGCUAUGUUCGGAAAAGAUAACCGCUGAAAGCAUCUAAGCGGGAAACUUGCCUCAAGAUGAG
rnacentral:rRNA from 1 species